UACGGAGGGCGGGAGCGUUAUACGGAAUCACUGGGUUUAAAGGGUGCGUAGGCGGCUCGGUAAGUCAGUUGUGAAAGCCCCUUGCUUAACGAGGGAGGUGCGAUUGAUACUGUCGAGCUUGAAUCGGGAUGAGGCAGGCGGAAUGUGGCAUGUAGCGGUGAAAUGCAUAGAUAUGCCAUAGAACACCGAUUGCGAAGGCAGCCUGCGGGGCCUGUAGUGGCCCUGAGGCACGAAAGCGUGGGGAGCAAACAGG
rnacentral:rRNA from 1 species